rnacentral:rRNA from 1 species
UACGGAGGGAACUAGCGUUGUUCGGAAUUACUGGGCGUAAAGCGCACGUAGGCGGCUUUGUAAGUUAGAGGUGAAAGCCCGGGGCUCAACUCCGGAACUGCCUUUAAGACUGCAUCGCUUGAAUCCAGGAGAGGUGAGUGGAAUUCCGAGUGUAGAGGUGAAAUUCGUAGAUAUUCGGAAGAACACCAGUGGCGAAGGCGGCUCACUGGACUGGUAUUGACGCUGAGGCGCGAAAGCGUGGGGAGCAAACAGG